rnacentral:ncRNA from 2 species
AACUAAGGUAGAGGUGCAAAGAUUAAGAGUAUCAUAGUUGAGGUAAGCACAAUGACACUAUGAGAAAGGAAAAUUUGCCGAAGUGAGUAAGCUAACGCUUUAAAGCUACUUGCUGGUUUUGAUUAGAAUAUAAGCAAAACUGUCACAAUUUAAAGUUUGUGGAGAGCUAUCAUUCAA